UGGAUGAACGCUAGCUACAGGCUUAACACAUGCAAGUCGAGGGGCAGCAUUUUAGUUUGCUUGCAAACUAAAGAUGGCGACCGGCGCACGGGUGAGUAACACGUAUCCAACCUGCCGUCUACUCUUGGACAGCCUUCUGAAAGGAAGAUUAAUACAAGAUGGCAUCAUGAGUCCGCACGUUCACAUGAUUAAAGGUAUUCCGGUAGACGAUGGGGAUGCGUUCCAUUAGAUAGUAGGCGGGGUAACGGCCCACCUAGUCUUCGAUGGAUAGGGGUUCUGAGAGGAAGGUCCCCCACAUUGGAACUGAGACACGGUCCAAACUCCUACGGGAGGCAGCAGUGAGGAAUAUUGGUCAAUGGGCGAGAGCCUGAACCAGCCAAGUAGCGUGAAGGAUGACUGCCCUAUGGGUUGUAAACUUCUUUUAUAAAGGAAUAAAGUCGGGUAUGGAUACCCGUUUGCAUGUACUUUAUGAAUAAGGAUCGGCUAACUCCGUGCCAGCAGCCGCGGUAAUACGGAGGAUCCGAGCGUUAUCCGGAUUUAUUGGGUUUAAAGGGAGCGUAGAUGGAUGUUUAAGUCAGUUGUGAAAGUUUGCGGCUCAACCGUAAAAUUGCAGUUGAUACUGGAUAUCUUGAGUGCAGUUGAGGCAGGCGGAAUUCGUGGUGUAGCGGUGAAAUGCUUAGAUAUCACGAAGAACUCCGAUUGCGAAGGCAGCCUGCUAAGCUGCAACUGACAUUGAGGCUCGAAAGUGUGGGUAUCAAACAGGAUUAGAUACCCUGGUAGUCCACACGGUAAACGAUGAAUACUCGCUGUUUGCGAUAUACAGCAAGCGGCCAAGCGAAAGCGUUAAGUAUUCCACCUGGGGAGUACGCCGGCAACGGUGAAACUCAAAGGAAUUGACGGGGGCCCGCACAAGCGGAGGAACAUGUGGUUUAAUUCGAUGAUACGCGAGGAACCUUACCCGGGCUUAAAUUGCAGAUGAAUUACGGUGAAAGCCGUAAGCCGCAAGGCAUCUGUGAAGGUGCUGCAUGGUUGUCGUCAGCUCGUGCCGUGAGGUGUCGGCUUAAGUGCCAUAACGAGCGCAACCCUUGUUGUCAGUUACUAACAGGUUCCGCUGAGGACUCUGACAAGACUGCCAUCGUAAGAUGUGAGGAAGGUGGGGAUGACGUCAAAUCAGCACGGCCCUUACGUCCGGGGCUACACACGUGUUACAAUGGGGGGUACAGAGGGCCGCUACCACGCGAGUGGAUGCCAAUCCCCAAAACCUCUCUCAGUUCGGACUGGAGUCUGCAACCCGACUCCACGAAGCUGGAUUCGCUAGUAAUCGCGCAUCAGCCACGGCGCAGUGAAUACGUUCCCGGGCCUUGUACACACCGCCCGUCAAGCCAUGGGAGCCGGGGGUACCUGAAGUGCGUAACCGCGAGGAGCGCCCUAGGGUA
rnacentral:rRNA from 1 species